UCCCUGGCUUUCUGGUGGUUAAGACUCUGCAUUCUCACUGCAGAGGGCCCAGGUUCAAUCCCUGGUUGGGGAA
rnacentral:tRNA from 1 species